rnacentral:rRNA from 1 species
GAGUUUUAUAUAUUUUAGAUUAAUUAAGAGUUAAGUUUUUUUUGAUUAGUUUAGUAUAUUUAGUUGGGAGAAUUAUUAGAUUAUAUUAAUUUUAAUUUUUAUAAAAUAUUAAUUUAUAGAUGAAAGAAUGGUAAUUUUAUGAUUAAAGAAUUAAUUACCUUAGGGAUAACAGCGUAAUAUUUUUGGAGAGUUCUUAUUGAUAAAAAUGAUUGC